UGUGGCACCAUCCGGGAGUCCUGUUAUUUAUGGCAACAUCCGGGAGUUCUGUUACCUAUGGCACCAUCCGGGAGUUCUGUUAUCUGUGGCACCAUCCGGGAGUUCUGUUAUCUAUGGCACCAUCCGGGAGUCCUGUUAUUUAUGGCACCAUCCAGGCAAUCCGGGCAUUGGCUUAACUACUACUACAAGGUUCUACAAAACAUAAUCAAACUUGCACAAGCGCAGUUACUGCUUACAACAAUAUGCAUAAUACAAUUGAAUCCUACUCGAUUUGUUCAACAUUAACAAUUUUGACCAUCACUUAUUACAAGCACUAUUACUGAUUUAGAAAUAAAACCCCACAAAAUAAUUCUAAUCCAUCAAAUAUAAAGAAAUCUGCUGCAGAAGCUAAAUGAAAAUACAUCUAAAAUAUCAAGAAGCUUUGCAAUGAUUUAAUCAGUUCUGCGCACCUGUGUUUGGUGACUGUAUUUGACAGAGAUUUGUUAAAACAAUAGCUCUUUGCUACAUACAAGUGUAGAAGGCAAUAACUUUCCUGGGAUUCAUCUGUGUUUUACUGCCUCUGCCGCAUCCUUCACUAGAAGCGAUGUCAGCUGCACAGCUGCAGUCCUGAUUUUUAAGAA